GAGACGUUAAGCGGCGAAGGAUCCGAAAACUCCCAGCGGGACUCCUCGCCCCCUGACAGGACCCAGCGAUGACACUGACAGCGUUACGGCCCGCCGGAGCCGAGUUACGUGGCUGAGACGUUAAGCGGCGAAGGAUCCGAAAACUCCCAGCGGGACUCCUCGCCCCCUGACAGGACCCAGCGAUGACACUGACAGCGUUACGGCCCGCCGUGAGUAGUAGUUCCACUUUUCAUGCGUCGGCGUACAAGAGAUGGGCAUAAAUUCAUGGAAAUGUUAUUGCCUGUUAUUAAAUGUCCUAAAACUGUUUCUGCAAGUCAAGCGCAAAGAUGGUUAUUUUCAGAAUGUGCCCGGUUUACACCGUUGUGCCCUGUCCGCCCUCAGGUUUAGGUCGCUCCAAGGUGCUGCCAUUAGGUUCGCUUGUUUCCUAGCUCGGGAUGCAGCGCCCUGGGCGGGACUAGCGGCUUGGCUGCCCCGGCUUCAUGCCGCCCGCUUGACGCGCACCCUGCUGGCGCAGACAGCUGUGGCCUGUACCGCACAUGGAUUGCGGUGCAGGGCGGGCGCGGGUCGCGGUUCACCCCAGGGUCUCAUUUAAGAGUUAGAGCAGGGCCUGCACUGUAAGGUGGCGGGAGGGAAACAGGAAGGGCCCUGCUUUCGAAACACAGAAGCGUCUAAUGGCAAACACCUUGUUUUAUAACAUCGGCGUUAAACCAUGUUCAUGCUUCAUGCGUUAAAAAGCUCCGUACUUAAGCAUGCUAACAGCUAAACUAAGCUUCUGUCAAACAGUUUUAACCGUUCAGGUCAGGAUUCGUCAAGCAAACGCAGAGUUGGUCUACAAACUUUAGCAUGUAGUUAGAGGUCAUUAUACUCUGUCCAAGAGGCACCCGGAAAUAUAACCUGAAGGCCUCACGCUUUUAGAAAUGAAACGCUGACACGUUUGAUGAUAGGUUUGGUGGUUGGGCUAUACAUGUUUUUGAAAUAUCUCCCAUCUCUGGACAUACCGCAGCGUCAUGGUGUUGAAGCAUUAAGUCGGGUGGUUGGGCCAUGCAUUCUUUUGAAAUAUCGCCCAUCUCUGGACCUACCACUGCGUCAUGGUGUUGAUGCGUCGACACCGUGACGCAGCGCCUCGUUUCUUUCACAGGGAGCCGAGUUACGUGGCUGAGACGUUAAGCGGCGAAGGAUCCGAAAACUCCCAGCGGGACUCCUCGCCCCCUGACAGGACCCAGCGAUGACACUGACAGCGUUACGGCCCGCCGGAGCCGAGUUACGUGGCUGAGACGUUAAGCGGCGAAGGAUCCGAAAACUCCCAGCGGGACUCCUCGCCCCCUGACAGGACCCAGCGAUGACACUGACAGCGUUACGGCCCGCCGUGAGUAGUAGUUCCACUUUUCAUGCAUCGGCGUACAAGAGAUGGGCAUAAAUUCAUGGAAAUGUUAUUGCCUGUUAUUAAAUGUCCUAAAACUGUUUCUGCAAGUCAAGCGCAAAGAUGGUUAUUUUCAGAAUGUGCCCGGUUUACACCGUUGUGCCCUGUCCGCCCUCAGGUUUAGGUCGCUCCAAGGUGCUGCCAUUAGGUUCGCUUGUUUCCUAGCUCGGGAUGCAGCGCCCUGGGCGGGACUAGCGGCUUGGCUGCCCCGGCUUCAUGCCGCCCGCUUGACGCGCACCCUGCUGGCGCAGACAGCUGUGGCCUGUACCGCACAUGGAUUGCGGUGCAGGGCGGGCGCGGGUCGCGGUUCACCCCAGGGUCUCAUUUAAGAGUUAGAGCAGGGCCUGCACUGUAAGGUGGCGGGAGGGAAACAGGAAGGGCCCUGCUUUCGAAACACAGAAGCGUCUAAUGGCAAACACCUUGUUUUAUAACAUCGGCGUUAAACCAUGUUCAUGCUUCAUGCGUUAAAAAGCUCCGUACUUAAGCAUGCUAACAGCUAAACUAAGCUUCUGUCAAACAGUUUUAACCGUUCAGGUCAGGAUUCGUCAAGCAAACGCAGAGUUGGUCUACAAACUUUAGCAUGUAGUUAGAGGUCAUUAUACUCUGUCCAAGAGGCACCCGGAAAUAUAACCUGAAGGCCUCACGCUUUUAGAAAUGAAACGCUGACACGUUUGAUGAUAGGUUUGGUGGUUGGGCUAUACAUGUUUUUGAAAUAUCUCCCAUCUCUGGACAUACCGCAGCGUCAUGGUGUUGACGCAUUAAGUCGGGUGGUUGGGCCAUGCAUUCUUUUGAAAUAUCGCCCAUCUCUGGACCUACCACUGCGUCAUGGUGUUGAUGCGUCGACACCGUGACGCAGCGCCUCGUUUCUUUCACAGGGAGCCGAGUUACGUGGCUGAGACGUUAAGCGGCGAAGGAUCCGAACACUCCCAGCGGGACUCCUCGCCCCCUGACAGGACCCAGCGAUGACACUGACAGCGUUACGGCCCGCCGUGAGUAGUAGUUCCACUUUUCAUGCAUCGGCGUACAAGAGAUGGGCAUAAAUUCAUGGAAAUGUUAUUGCCUGUUAUUAAAUGUCCUAAAACUGUUUCUGCAAGUCAAGCGCAAAGAUGGUUAUUUUCAGAAUGUGCCCGGUUUACACCGUUGUGCCCUGUCCGCCCUCAGGUUUAGGUCGCUCCAAGGUGCUGCCAUUAGGUUCGCUUGUUUCCUAGCUCGGGAUGCAGCGCCCUGGGCGGGACUAGCGGCUUGGCUGCCCCGGCUUCAUGCCGCCCGCUUGACGCGCACCCUGCUGGCGCAGACAGCUGUGGCCUGUACCGCACAUGGAUUGCGGUGCAGGGCGGGCGCGGGUCGCGGUUCACCCCAGGGUCUCAUUUAAGAGUUAGAGCAGGGCCUGCACUGUAAGGUGGCGGGAGGGAAACAGGAAGGGCCCUGCUUUCGAAACACAGAAGCGUCUAAUGGCAAACACCUUGUUUUAUAACAUCGGCGUUAAACCAUGUUCAUGCUUCAUGCGUUAAAAAGCUCCGUACUUAAGCAUGCUAACAGCUAAACUAAGCUUCUGUCAAACAGUUUUAACCGUUCAGGUCAGGAUUCGUCAAGCAAACGCAGAGUUGGUCUACAAACUUUAGCAUGUAGUUAGAGGUCAUUAUACCCUGUCCAAGAGGCACCCGAAAUAUAACCUGAAGGCCUCACGCUUUUAGAAAUGAAACGCUGACACGUUUGAUGAUAGGUUUGGUGGUUGGGCUAUACAUGUUUUUGAAAUAUCUCCCAUCUCUGGACAUACCGCAGCGUCAUGGUGUUGACGCAUUAAGUCGGGUGGUUGGGCCAUGCAUUCUUUUGAAAUAUCGCCCAUCUCUGGACCUACCACUGCGUCAUGGUGUUGAUGCGUCGACACCGUGACGCAGCGCCUCGUUUCUUUCACAGGGAGCCGAGUUACGUGGCUGAGACGUUAAGCGGCGAAGGAUCCGAAAACUCCCAGCGGGACUCCUCGCCCCCUGACAGGACCCAGCGAUGACACUGACAGCGUUACGGCCCGCCGUGAGUAGUAGUUCCACUUUUCAUGCAUCGGCGUACAAGAGAUGGGCAUAAAUUCAUGGAAAUGUUAUUGCCUGUUAUUAAAUGUCCUAAAACUGUUUCUGCAAGUCAAGCGCAAAGAUGGUUAUUUUCAGAAUGUGCCCGGUUUACACCGUUGUGCCCUGUCCGCCCUCAGGUUUAGGUCGCUCCAAGGUGCUGCCAUUAGGUUCGCUUGUUUCCUAGCUCGGGAUGCAGCGCCCUGGGCGGGACUAGCGGCUUGGCUGCCCCGGCUUCAUGCCGCCCGCUUGACGCGCACCCUGCUGGCGCAGACAGCUGUGGCCUGUACCGCACAUGGAUUGCGGUGCAGGGCGGGCGCGGGUCGCGGUUCACCCCAGGGUCUCAUUUAAGAGUUAGAGCAGGGCCUGCACUGUAAGGUGGCGGGAGGGAAACAGGAAGGGCCCUGCUUUCGAAACACAGAAGCGUCUAAUGGCAAACACCUUGUUUUAUAACAUCGGCGUUAAACCAUGUUCAUGCUUCAUGCGUUAAAAAGCUCCGUACUUAAGCAUGCUAACAGCUAAACUAAGCUUCUGUCAAACAGUUUUAACCGUUCAGGUCAGGAUUCGUCAAGCAAACGCAGAGUUGGUCUACAAACUUUAGCAUGUAGUUAGAGGUCAUUAUACUCUGUCCAAGAGGCACCCGGAAAUAUAACCUGAAGGCCUCACGCUUUUAGAAAUGAAACGCUGACACGUUUGAUGAUAGGUUUGGUGGUUGGGCUAUACAUGUUUUUGAAAUAUCUCCCAUCUCUGGACAUACCGCAGCGUCAUGGUGUUGACGCAUUAAGUCGGGUGGUUGGGCCAUGCAUUCUUUUGAAAUAUCGCCCAUCUCUGGACCUACCACUGCGUCAUGGUGUUGAUGCGUCGACACCGUGACGCAGCGCCUCGUUUCUUUCACAGGGAGCCGAGUUACGUGGCUGAGACGUUAAGCGGCGAAGGAUCCGAAAACUCCCAGCGGGACUCCUCGCCCCCUGACAGGACCCAGCGAUGACACUGACAGCGUUACGGCCCGCCGGAGCCGAGUUACGUGGCUGAGACGUUAAGCGGCGAAGGAUCCGAAAACUCCCAGCGGGACUCCUCGCCCCCUGACAGGACCCAGCGAUGACACUGACAGCGUUACGGCCCGCCGUGAGUAGUAGUUCCACUUUUCAUGCAUCGGCGUACAAGAGAUGGGCAUAAAUUCAUGGAAAUGUUAUUGCCUGUUAUUAAAUGUCCUAAAACUGUUUCUGCAAGUCAAGCGCAAAGAUGGUUAUUUUCAGAAUGUGCCCGGUUUACACCGUUGUGCCCUGUCCGCCCUCAGGUUUAGGUCGCUCCAAGGUGCUGCCAUUAGGUUCGCUUGUUUCCUAGCUCGGGAUGCAGCGCCCUGGGCGGGACUAGCGGCUUGGCUGCCCCGGCUUCAUGCCGCCCGCUUGACGCGCACCCUGCUGGCGCAGACAGCUGUGGCCUGUACCGCACAUGGAUUGCGGUGCAGGGCGGGCGCGGGUCGCGGUUCACCCCAGGGUCUCAUUUAAGAGUUAGAGCAGGGCCUGCACUGUAAGGUGGCGGGAGGGAAACAGGAAGGGCCCUGCUUUCGAAACACAGAAGCGUCUAAUGGCAAACACCUUGUUUUAUAACAUCGGCGUUAAACCAUGUUCAUGCUUCAUGCGUUAAAAAGCUCCGUACUUAAGCAUGCUAACAGCUAAACUAAGCUUCUGUCAAACAGUUUUAACCGUUCAGGUCAGGAUUCGUCAAGCAAACGCAGAGUUGGUCUACAAACUUUAGCAUGUAGUUAGAGGUCAUUAUACUCUGUCCAAGAGGCACCCGGAAAUAUAACCUGAAGGCCUCACGCUUUUAGAAAUGAAACGCUGACACGUUUGAUGAUAGGUUUGGUGGUUGGGCUAUACAUGUUUUUGAAAUAUCUCCCAUCUCUGGACAUACCGCAGCGUCAUGGUGUUGACGCAUUAAGUCGGGUGGUUGGGCCAUGCAUUCUUUUGAAAUAUCGCCCAUCUCUGGACCUACCACUGCGUCAUGGUGUUGA